UAGGGAAUCUUCGGCAAUGGACGAAAGUCUGACCGAGCAACGCCGCGUGAGUGAAGAAGGUUUUCGGAUCGUAAAACUCUGUUGUUAGAGAAGAACAAGGACGUUAGUAACUGAACGUCCCCUGACGGUAUCUAACCAGAAAGCCACGGCUAACUACGUGCCAGCAGCCGCGGUAAUACGUAGGUGGCAAGCGUUGUCCGGAUUUAUUGGGCGUAAAGCGAGCGCAGGCGGUUUCUUAAGUCUGAUGUGAAAGCCCCCGGCUCAACCGGGGAGGGUCAUUGGAAACGGGGAGACUUGAGUGGAGAAGAGGAGAGUGGAAGUCCAUGUGUAGCGGUGAAAUGCGUAGAUAUAUGGAGGAACACCAGUGGCGAAGGCGGCUCUCUGGUCUGGAACGGACGCUGAGGCUCGAAAGCGUGGGGAGCAAACAGG
rnacentral:rRNA from 1 species